UACGUAGGGUGCGAGCGUUAAUCGGAAUUACUGGGCGUAAGGUGUGCGCAGGCGGCUUCGCAAGUCGAGUGUGAAAUCCCCGAGCUUAACUUGGGAAUUGCGCUCGAAACUACGGAGCUGGAGUGUGGCAGAGGAAGGUGGAAUUCCACGUGUAGCGGUGAAAUGCGUAGAGAUUUGGAGGAACACCAGUGGCGAAGGCGGCUUUCUGGUCUGUAACUGACGCUGAGGCGCGAAAGCGUGGGGAGCAAACAGG
rnacentral:rRNA from 1 species